ensembl:snRNA U2 U2 spliceosomal RNA
AUUGCCUCUCUGCCUUUUGGCUAAGAUCAAGUGUAGUAUCUGUUCUUAUCAGUUUAAAGGUUUGUGUUAUUAGAUCAGGCUCAAGAGGGUAAUCUCU